UCCCAAGUGGUGAUCACGUAUAUUGGGUCUAAAGCAUUCGUAGCCGGUUUGUUAAGUCUUCUGUGAAAUCUGAUAGAAAACUAUCAGGCGUGCAGGAGGUACUGGCAAGCUUGGAACCGGGAGGAGCCUGGAGUACUUUUAGGGUAGGGGUAAAAUCCUGUAAUCCUAAAGGGACUACCUGUGGCGAAGGCGCCAGGCUAGAACGGAUUCGACGGUGAGGAAUGAAAGCGAGGGGAGCAAAGGGGAUUAGAUUGAAGAGAAGUCGCGGAAAAUUUUUAAGUCUUAUCACUAAUAAGUGAUAUGGCUAAAUUUCAAACGUACAUUGGAGGAACACCCAGAGAAUUCAACACAGUGAAUGUAUAUGAAUUCGAUAAGAAAUUUACAGAUUGGUACAAUAAUACCUAUCUGAUGGUCUGUUCUUCUGCAACAGAAUUUGCAGGAUUAUUUGAGGCGCCAAUUUCAGCACUUUUAGCAUCAAAGGGCGUCCAAAUUUAAAUUUUCUGAUGAGGUACCUUCCAAAACAGACAAAAAAGAAAU
rnacentral:rRNA from 1 species